AUAAACACUUCUUAUUUCAAUCCACAAAGUUUCCUUUCCACUUCUCCUCCCUGGAGGAGUGAGUGGCUAUGUGGUACUUAGUUGCCAGCUGGGGUCAAACCAUGACAGCAAGAAUGACAUUUUCUAUAUUUCCCACUCAAGAUCCAUCAUAAGCAAAUGAAAAACAAAGGAAAAAAAAUUUCAAAGCAUUUCCCACCUUUCAUUAGAAAUGUUACUGUAUUAACCUACAGAUUGUAUUGCAGCCCUGAUGUCAUGGCAGUCCAUGUGCUAAGCCAGAGAGCAGACUGUUUAGGAAGGAGUUACAGCCUCAUUGGGAUAAAAAGCUCUUCUGGAAAGAUGGUCUCCAUCCACAUGAGUAACGGACUAAGCUAAACUUCAACGAGGAACUGUUUUUUACUUUUCUUCUGCAUUCUUAUUCUGAACAAAAACACCAUAACUUUUUUGUCCCAAUUAACAAAUUAGGUUAAACUGUUAUGUAUUAGGUAAUCACCUCCUGAUAGACAUCAGUAUGACAUGAAUUCUUACUUUAAUUCUCUCCCUCUACCCAGAGGUCCCUUAAAUGGACAAAAUAAAGGCCAUUUGGCAAAAAAUGCAAAAUAAAUGGACACAUAGUAGAAUAUUUUUGCAGUUACAAGCUGGUUCACUAGAAACACAGACACACAGUAAAAAUGGAGACAGAAGUUAAUGAAGAAUGGGAGAUACAUGUGUCACAUUAUUAGCAAUGCAAAAGACCAGCUUAAGCAUGUGUUUCCCUACAUCAGCUAUAAAAAAGAAAAGGUGCCUUUUUAGCAAGUAUGCACAGAGUUUGCUUUGUUAUUUCUAAGAAAAAAAAUCAGAACACUUCACUAUUUUUAUUCUAUAUUACAGUCAUUAUUACUACCUGUUUAUAAAAUGUAAACCCUUCCUUGCAGUUAAGAUUUACAGAAGUCAUCACCUUUGUCCACUCCUUACAUAAUCAGUCCAUGGUGACAAAAAUAAACUGAUUUAUUUUACAUA